rnacentral:rRNA from 1 species
GCGACCCUAGGUCAGGUGGGGCUACCCGCUGA